rnacentral:tRNA from 1 species
GGAUCCAUAGCUCAGUUGGUUAGAGCGUACGGUUUACAUCCGUAAGGUCGCAGGUUCGAGCCCUGCUGGAUCCA